GAGAGUAAGCGAGGUGGUUGCGGAUUGGCAAAAUUUGCCAAUCUGAGGAAAGUCCGGACUCCCGAAAGACCAAACUUGCUGGGUAACGCCCAGUGUGCGCAAGCGCGAGGAUAGUGCCACAGAAACAUACCGCCAAUUAGUUAUUUGUCAUUUGUCAUUUGUUUUUUACAAAGACAAAGGACAAAAUUGGUAAGGGUGCAAAGGUGCGGUAAGAGCGCACCAGCAGCAUCGAGAGGUGCUGGCUCGGUAAACCCCGGUUGGGAGCAAGGUCGAAGGGACUACGGUUGGUCUUUUACCAGUCCCGCUGCGAGAGAACCGCUUGAGGUGUCUGGUAACAGACAUCCCAGAUAGAUAACCGCCCGUGCAACAGUUAGCCGAUCGCUGUAAGCUAAGCUAUUGAUUGUACGAACAGAAUCCGGCUUACGUCUUACUUUCUCCU
rnacentral:RNase_P_RNA from 1 species